rnacentral:lncRNA from 1 species
GCUGAUUUCUCAUGAAUAGGGGCACAAGAGAAUUUAAGAUUUCAUAAAGAAAGGUGGGAACGUGAAUAAGGAUCCUUAGAUCAAGCCUUUUGCUUCUUCUCCGUUGAUCAAUAAGUCGUGUUCACACUUGGUCUUCAUUUAGAGUGAUCUUUUAAUCUGAACCCUUGAUAUUUAAAUCGUGUUCAUACUUAAUUCUAUUUAUCUUUUAAUCUAUGCCCU